rnacentral:miRNA from 1 species
CUCUUUGUUCGUGCAUUAUCGGGAUUUACAAGCACUCGUUCACGAACAAGAAACUCGAAUUUAACACUGCACUCGGCUGCGCCUCGUGCAGUGUUAAAUUUCUUGUUUCUUGUUCGUGAACGAGUGCUUGUAAAUCCCGAUAAUGCACGAACAAAGAG